rnacentral:rRNA from 1 species
UCCCGCAACCGAGCGCAACCCCACUUGCCAGUUGCUAACAGGAGAGCUGAGCACUCUGGCGAGACUGCCGCCGACAAGGCGGAGGAAGGUGGGGAUGACGUCAAGUCAUCAUGGCCUUUAUGCCCAGGGCUACACACGUGCUACAAUGGCCGGCACAGACGGCAGCUUAGUGGCGACACGUUGGCAAAUCCUCUAAAGCCGGUCCCAGUUCGGAUUGCAGUCUGCAACUCGACUGCAUGAAGCCGGGAUCGCUAGUAAUCGCAGAUCAGCCAAGCUGCGGUGAAUACGUUCCCGGGCCUU